GGAUAAUCAGCAAGGGAAUAGUUCGAACAAUACUCAACAUGAGAAAAAACAAAGUUUGGGUGAGAUGUUCAACCAGUCCAUACGGAAGACAAACAAGGUAUUCCAGUAGAUUGACACUAACUUUCAGAAUCAGCAAGCAUCCAUCAAGAAAUUGGAAACACAAAUUGUUCAGAUAGCUCAACAGUUGGCAGAACGCACGCAAGGGACAUUGCCAG
rnacentral:lncRNA from 1 species